AGUGAACGCUGGCGGUAGACCUAACACAUGCAAGUCGAACGGCAGCACAGUAAGAGCUUGCUCUUACGGGUGGCGAGUGGCGGACGGGUGAGGAAUACAUCGGAAUCUACUUUUUCGUGGGGGAUAACGUAGGGAAACUUACGCUAAUACCGCAUACGACCUACGGGUGAAAGCAGGGGAUCUUCGGACCUUGCGCGAUUGAAUGAGCCGAUGUCGGAUUAGCUAGUUGGCGGGGUAAAGGCCCACCAAGGCGACGAUCCGUAGCUGGUCUGAGAGGAUGAUCAGCCACACGGGAACUGAGACACGGUCCAGACUCCUACGGGAGGCAGCAGUGGGGAAUAUUGGGCAAUGGGCGAAAGCCUGAUCCAGCCAUACCGCGUGGGUGAAGAAGGCCUUCGGGUUGUAAAGCCCUGUUGUUGGGAAAGAAGAGCAGCAGGUUAAUACCCCGCUGUUCUGACGGUACCCAAAGAAUAAGCACCGGCUAACUUCGUG
rnacentral:rRNA from 1 species